UGGGGAAUAUUGCACAAUGGGGGAAACCCUGAUGCAGCGACGCCGCGUGAGCGAUGAAGGCUUUCGAGUCGUAAAGCUCUGUCCUAUGGGAAGAUAAUGACGGUACCAUAGAAGAAAGCCCCGGCUAAUUACGUGCCAGCAGCCGCGGUAAUACGUAAGGGGCGAGCGUUGUCCGGAAUUAUUGGGCGUAAAGAGUGCGUAGGCGGCAAAUUAAGUCAGAUGUGAAAAAUAAGGGCUCAACCCAUAGAUUGCAUCUGAAACUGAUAUGCUUGAGUGAAGGAGAGGAAAGUGGAAUUCCUAGUGUAGCGGUGGAAUGCGUAGAUAUUAGGAGGAAUACCGGUGGCGAAGGCGACUUUCUGGACUUGAACUGACGCUGAGGCACGAAAGCGUGGGGAGCAAACAGG
rnacentral:rRNA from 1 species